AACGAACGCUGGCGGCGCGCCUAAUACAUGCAAGUCGAGCGAGAAGACGUAGCAAUACGUUUGUAAAGCGGCGAACGGGUGAGGAAUACAUGGGUAACCUACCCUCGAGUGGGGAAUAACUAGCCGAAAGGUUAGCUAAUACCGCGUACGCUCCUUGGACUUCGGUUCAGGGAGGAAAGCGAUACCGUGGGUAUCGCGCUCUUGGAUGGGCUCAUGUCCUAUCAGCUUGUUGGNGAGGUAACGGCUCACCAAGGCUUCGACGGGUAGCUGGUCUGAGAGGACGAUCAGCCACACUGGCACUGCGACACGGGCCAGACUCCUACGGGAGGCAGCAGUAAGGAAUAUUGCGCAAUGGGCGAAAGCCUGACGCAGCGACGCCGCGUGGGGGAUGAAGGUCUUCGGAUUGUAAACCCCUUUCGGGAGGGAAGAUGGAAUGGGGUAACCCGAUUCGGACGGUACCUCCAGAAGCAACCACGGCUAACUUCGUGCCAGCAGCCGCA
rnacentral:rRNA from 1 species